rnacentral:rRNA from 1 species
AUGAACGCUGGCGGCGUGCCCAAUACAUGCAAGUCGAGCGAACAGACGAGGAGCUUGCUCCUCUGACGUUAGCGGCGGACGGGUGAGUAACACGUGGAUAACCUACCUAUAAGACUGGGAUAACUUCGGGAAACCGGAGCUAAUACCGGAUAAUAUAUUGAACCGCAUGGUUCAAUAGUGAAAGACGGUUUUGCUGUCACUUAUAGAUGGAUCCGCGCCGCAUUAGCUAGUUGGUAAGGUAACGGCUUACCAAGGCAACGAUGCGUAGCCGACCUGAGAGGGUGAUCGGCCACACUGGAACUGAGACACGGUCCAGACUCCUACGGGAGGCAGCAGUAGGGAAUCUUCCGCAAUGGGCGAAAGCUUGACGGAGCAACGCCGCGUGAGUGAUGAAGGUCUUCGGAUCGUAAAACUCUGUUAUUAGGGAAGAACAAAUGUGUAAGUAACUAUGCACGUCUUGACGGUACCUAAUCAGAAAGCCACGGCUAACUACGUG